GUUGAAUGAUCGCGUUUAUUUUAUAGACGAGGAAAGUCCGGACUCUAGGGAGAAGUGGUGCUGGUUAACUGCCAGCCAAGGUAACUUGAGGGAUAGCGCAACAGAAAAUAUACCGCUCAAUUUUUUGAGUAAGGGUGAAAUGGUGAGGUAAGAGCUUACCGCUCACUUGGCAACAAGAGAGGCACUGCAAGCCCCACCAAGAGAAAGACCAAAUAGGAAUCGUUGAAAUUUUUAUUUCAGAUUCUCCCAGUAAACGAUUCGGGUAGGUCGUUUGACCUUAUUAGUAAUAAUGGGGCUAGAUGAAUGAUCAUUAGGCAUAAUUGCCAACAAAAUCCGGCUUAUAGAUUUUC
rnacentral:RNase_P_RNA from 1 species